rnacentral:rRNA from 1 species
UUAAGCAUAUCAAUAAGCGGAGGAAAAGAAACUAACAAGGAUUCCCCUAGUAGCGGCGAGCGAAGCGGGAAGAGCUCAAAUUUAUAAUCUGGCACCUUCGGUGUCCGAGUUGUAAUCUCUAGAAGUGUUUUCCGCGUUGGACCGCACACAAGUCUGUUGGAAUACAGCGGCAUAGUGGUGAAACCCCCGUAUAUGGUGCGGACGCCCAGCGCUUUGUGAUACACUUUCAAUGAGUCGAGUUGUUUGGGAAUGCAGCUCAAAUUGGGUGGUAAAUUCCAUCUAAAGCUAAAUAUUGGCGAGAGACCGAUAGCGAACAAGUACCGUGAGGGAAAGAUGAAAAGCACUUUGGAAAGAGAGUUAACAGUACGUGAAAUUGUUGGAAGGGAAACGCUUGAAGUCAGACUUGCUUGCCGGAGCUUGCUUCGGUUUGCAGGCCAGCAUCAGUUUUCCGGGGUGGAUAAUGACGGUUUGAAGGUAGCAGUCUCGGCUGUGUUAUAGCUUUCCGUUGGAUACGCCCUGGGGGACUGAGGAACGCAGCGUGCUUUUUGCGAAAGACUCGUCUUUUUCACGCUUAGGAUGCUGGUGGAAUGGCUUUAAACGACCCGUCUUGAAACACGGACCAAGGAGUCUAACAUGCUCGCGAGUAUUUGGGUGUCAAACCCGGAUGCGCAAUGAAAGUGAAUGUAGGUGGGAACCGCAAGGUGCACCAUCGACCGAUCUGGAUUUUUUAAGAUGGAUUUGAGUAAGAGCGCGUAUGUUGGGACCCGAAAGAUGGUGAACUAUGCCUGAAUAGGGCGAAGCCAGAGGAAACUCUGGUGGAGGCUCGUAGCGGUUCUGACGUGCAAAUCGAUCGUCAAAUUUGGGUAUAGGGGCGAAAGACUAAUCGAACCAUCUAGUAGCUGGUUCCUGCCGAAGUU